ACCGGCAGGGAGCUGCUCAGAAGAUAAGGGCUGAGUUUCACGUGUGCUCUCAAGAAAGAGCUUCAUGCUUAUUUACAAUAGCCAGAAGCUGGAAAGAACCCAGAUGUCCCUCAACAGAGGAAUAGAAACAGAAAAUGUGGUAUAUUUACACAAUGGAGUACUAUUCAGCUAUUAAAAAGAAUGAAUUUAUGAAAUUCCUAGGCAAAUGGAUGGACCUGGAGGGCAUCGUCCUGAGUGAGGUAACUCAAUCACAAAAGAACUCACAUGAUAUGUACUCACUGAUAAGUGGAUAUUAGCCCAGAAACUUAGAAUACCCAAGAUAUAAGAUACAAUCUGCAAAACACAUGAAACUCAAGAAGAACGAAGACCAAAAUGUGGACACUUUGCCCCUUCUUAGAAUUGGGAACAAAACACCCAUGGAAGGAGUUACAGAGACAAAGUUUGGAGCUGAGAGGAAAGGAUGGGCCAUCUAGAGACUGCCAUACCCGGGGAUCCAUCCCAUAAUCAGCCUCACUAGCAAGAUUUUGCUGAAAGGACCCAGACAUAACUGUCUCUUGUGAGGCUAUGCCCGGGCCUAGCAAACACAAAAGUAGAUGCUCACAGUCAGUUAUUGCAUGGAUCACAGGGCCCCCAAUGGAGGAGCUAGAGAAAGCACCCAAGGAGCUAAAGGGGUCUGCAACCCUAUAGGUGGAACAACAAUAUGAACUAACCAGUAGCCCCCUAGAGCUCGUGUUUCUAGCUGCAUAUGUAUCAGAUGAUGGCCUAGUCAGCCAUCAGUGGAAAGAGAGGCCCAUUGGUCUUGCAAACUUUAUCUGCCUCAGUACAGGGGAACGCCAGGGCCAAGAAGUGGGAGUGGGGAGGGGAUUGGGGAGGGAGGGUAUGGGGGGACUUUUGGGAUAGAAUCGGAAAUGUAAAUGAAGAAAAUACCUAAUUUAAAAAAAAAAAGAAAGAGCUUCGUGGUCAGGGAAAGUUCAGACUGCAAAUGCAUAGGCUGGCAGUAUUUGGAGGGGAGGCCCCUGGAGAAGUACUUACAUGUGGACAGUUUAAUUAGGGUGGGGCCCUGUGGUAGCGUUAGUGACUUUAUAAAAAGAGAGAGAGAGACACACACAUAAACUAGUCCAUUAUCUCAUCUCGCCCUGUAAUGUUCUUU
rnacentral:lncRNA from 1 species